rnacentral:rRNA from 1 species
UCACGUUGAGGUACUGCAGGAAAAAGAACUGCAAAAUCUGUUUCAAUUUUUCAUAAUCGAUUAGUUAACGUGGUGGUUAACUGUAUUGUGCAAGACGGAAAAAAAAUGUUGGCUUAUCUAAUUCUUUAUCGAGCCGUGAAAAAGAUUUAACAAAAGACAGAAACAAAUCCACUAUUGAUUUUACGUCAAGCAAUACGUAGAGUAACUUCCAAUAUAGGGGUAAAAAUAAGACGUAAUAAAAAAUCGACGCGGAAAGUUCCAAUUGAAAUAAGAUCUAAACAAGGAAGAGCACUUGCCAUUUAUUAGUUAUUAGAAGCAACCCAAAAGCGUCCGGGCCGAAAUAUGGCUUUCAAAUUAAGUUUCAAAUUAGUAGAUGCUUUCAAAGGAGGGGGUGCCAUACGCAAAGCGACUCAUAGAAUGGCAGAGGCAAAUAGAGCUCUUGCACAUUUUCGUUAA